UACGUAGGGGGCAAGCGUUUGUCCGGAUUUAUUGGGCGUAAAGAGCGUGUAGGCGGCUUCACAGGUCCGCUGUGAAAACUCGAGGCUCAACCUCGAGCUGUCGGUGGAAACCGUGUGGCUAGAGUCCGGAAGAGGAGAGUGGAAUUCCCGGUGUAGCGGUGAAAUGCGCAGAUAUCGGGAAGAACACCCGUGGCGAAGGCGGCUCUCUGGGACGGUACUGACGCUGAGACGCGAAAAGCGUGGGGGAGCGAACAGG
rnacentral:rRNA from 1 species